rnacentral:rRNA from 1 species
AGUGGCGAACGGGUGAGUAAAGUAUCGGAACGUGCCCAGUCGUGGGGGAUAACGUAGCGAAAGUUACGCUAAUACCGCAUACGAUCUAUGGAUGAAAGCGGGGGAUCGCAAGACCUCGCGCGAUUGGAGCGGCCGAUAUCAGAUUAGGUAGUUGGUGGGGUAAAGGCUCACCAAGCCGACGAUCUGUAGCUGGUCUGAGAGGACGACCAGCCACACUGGGACUGAGACACGGCCCAGACUCCUACGGGAGGCAGCAGUGGGGAAUUUUGGACAAUGGGCGCAAGCCUGAUCCAGCCAUGCCGCGUGCAGGAUGAAGGCCUUCGGGUUGUAAACUGCUUUUGUACGGAACGAAAAGGUUUGGCCUAAUAAGCUGAGCUCAUGACGGUACCGUAAGAAUAAGCACCGGCUAACUACGUGCCAGCAGCCGCGGUAAUACGUAGGGUGCGAGCGUUAAUCGGAAUUACUGGGCGUAAAGCGUGCGCAGGCGGUUAUGUAAGACAGAUGUGAAAUCCCCGGGCUCAACCUGGGAACUGCAUUAGUGACUGCAUAGCUGGAGUACGGCAGAGGGGGGAUGGAAUUCCGCGUGUAGCAGUGAAAUGCGUAGAUAUGCGGAGGAACACCGAAUGGCGAAAGGCAAUCCCCUGGGCCUGUACUGACGCUCAUGCACGAAAGCGUGGGG